rnacentral:rRNA from 1 species
CGUAGGGUGCGAGCGUUGUCCGGAGUUAUUGGGCGUAAAGAGCUCGUAGGCGGUUUGUUGCGUCGGCCGUGAAAACUAGCAGCUUAACUGUUGGCUUGCGGUCGAUACGGGCAGACUUGAGUUCGGUAGGGGAGACUGGAAUUCCUGGUGUAGCGGUGAAAUGCGCAGAUAUCAGGAGGAACACCGGUGGCGAAGGCGGGUCUCUGGGCCGAUACUGACGCUGAGGAGCGAAAGCGUGGGGAGCGAACAGGAUUAGAUACCCUGGUAGUCCACGCUGUAAACGUUGGGCGCUAGGUGUGGGGAGCAUUCCACGUUCUCCGUGCCGUAGCUAACGCAUUAAGCGCCCCGCCUGGGGAGUACGGCCGCAAGGCUA